rnacentral:tRNA from 1 species
UGCGGGGUGGAGCAGUCUGGUAGCUCGUCGGGCUCAUAACCUUGGUUCGAAUCCAGCCCCCGCUACCA